AGGGGUAAUUUAAACAAAAAAAGAUGGCAAUGAUGAAAUGUUUCAUUUCUUUCUCUCAUGUAUUGUAGCCCUGUCUCGAAAAGGAAAAGACUAUACCAUCUUCUCCCAGUCUGGAAAAGGAAAAGAACAUACCAUCUUCGGUAAGUACCCUUCUUGCAAAAUUCCAAAAACUACAGAAUGCGGCCGCUCGGGUAGUAUCCUUCUCCCGUAAGCACGAUCAUAUCACUCCUGUCCUCAAAUCACUCCAUUGGUUACCUGUUGAACA